CCUCGAAUCAGGUAGGACUACCCGCUGAACUUAAGCAUAUCAAUAAGCGGAGGAAAAGAAACCAACAGGGAUUGCCCCAGUAACGGCGAGUGAAGCGGCAACAGCUCAAAUUUGAAAUCUGGCCCCUAGGGUCCGAGUUGUAAUUUGCAGAGGAUGCUUUUGACAAGGUGCCUUCCGAGUUCCCUGGAACGGGACGCCAUAGAGGGUGAGAGCCCCGUCUGGUCGGAUACCGCGUCUCUGUAAAGCUCCUUCGACGAGUCGAGUAGUUUGGGAAUGCUGCUCAAAAUGGGAGGUAUAUGUCUUCUAAAGCUAAAUAUUGGCCAGAGACCGAUAGCGCACAAGUAGAGUGAUCGAAAGAUGAAAAGCACUUUGAAAAGAGGGUUAAAAAGUACGUGAAAUUGUUGAAAGGGAAGCGCCUAUGACCAGACUUGGGCCCGGUGAAUCAUCCAGCGUUCUCGCUGGUGCACUUUGCCGGGCACAGGCCAGCAUCAGUUUGGCUUGGGGGAAAAAGGCUUUGGGAAUGUAGCUCCUCGGAGUGUUAUAGACCAUUGCAUAAUACCCUGGGCCGGACUGAGGUUCGCGCAUCUGCAAGGAUGCUGGCGUAAUGGUCAUCAGCGACCCGUCUUGAAACACGGACCAAGGAGUCGUCUUCGUAUGCGAGUGUUCGGGUGUAAAACCCCUACGCGUAAUGAAAGUGAACGCAGGUGAGAGCUUCGGCGCAUCAUCGACCGAUCCUGAUGUUCUCGGAUGGAUUUGAGUAAGAGCAUACGGGGCCGGACCCGAAAGAAGGUGAACUAUGCCUGUAUAGGGUGAAGCCAGAGGAAACUCUGGUGGAGGCUCGCAGCGGUUCUGACGUGCGAAUCGAUCGUCAAAUAUGGGCAUGGGGGCGAAAGACUAAUCGAACCUUCUAGUAGCUGGUUUCCGCCGAAGU
rnacentral:rRNA from 1 species